CUCCCGUGACCUACCCUGUAGUUCCGGGCUUUUGUUUAUAUUGCGCCCGAUGUAUUUUCGAGUGUUUGUGUCGAUUAUCAGAAGCUCGUCUCUACAGGUAUCUCACAGGGUAGA
rnacentral:pre_miRNA from 2 species